CUUGUUUCAUUUUUCAUUCUACAAGAUAAAACCAUUCCCCUGCUUCUGCUAGCACUGCCUGCAGAUUGUUUCAUUUUUCAAUUGUGAGAAUGAGAGGACUAAAUUCUGAAGAAUCUACAAAUGAUUUAUCUGGAAAAAUCUGAAACGAAUCCUUACUGAACCAUAGAAAACAAGAAGAAUCACUCUCACCAUUGCCUAAUCCUCCUCCUCCUCAGAAGAAGACGAAGCUGGAGAAUCCCACAAAACCAAAGACUUAUAAAAAAGAGGAAAUUAGAGAAUCCCACGAGAAAAUUUGAAGGUAUGCAUUCUUGUGGGUUGAAAGAAAGAACUCAAAAUAGUCUUUUUUUUGUGCUUGUUUUGAUUUUUAACAGAAGGGUUCAAUUCUGCAGCAGAGAGAGUCCUUGGAGGCAGUUCUGGUAAAAACCAACAGUUGAUGACUUGAUCUCAACGAGGCAAGGCAACCAUUGACAAAACAUGAAAAGGGUAAUGUGCUUCAUAAAGCAAGAACUACUUUCGAAUCUAAAAAUCCAUUUUUCAUGGUUAAAACGCAUCCAUCAUAUGUUCAUCCAGAGCAUUUUAUUAUAACUAUUAAGUACCUUUAAGUUAAGAAAGUCAUUCAAAGUACACAUAUGUUGGAAUGAUUUUGUUGAUUGAGCACACGCUUGCAAAUAUUAGCACGUGUGGAUGAAUCAUCAGUAGUCAACCAUUUUCUAUUAAAGAUUGCUAGCAACUUAUAGUUAUAAAUAGAGGUGAAUAGAAAGUCCAUCCAAUAAUUAGCAUGAACAAUUUGGUUAAUUUGUUAAUCAACUAGCAUUUUCCAACAUACAUGAUUGCAUUUUUGUUUAGGAAAAAGUAUCUUUUAGUUUCUAAAAUUUGAUCUUAUUUACUAAUUUAUUCCUCCAUUUUUUAGAACUAAUUUAAUAUCCCGAAAAUUUCAAUCAGUUAAAUGAAGACGUCCUUCCGUUAUUUUUAUAUAUCUUUACCAUUAAAUCGAUAUGAAAAGACAAAAAUAUCAUUUUUUCUUUAACGUCAAACUAAGACGUUUUCAUUUGAUGGAUUACAACCUUACUAGUUCUCAAAAAUAAAAACUGGAAAGACGAUGUAAUGAAUUAGGUCAAACCUUAAAAAUUAAAAAGAAAAUUCUUUUUUGUUUAUUAUUAUUGUCAAAUCUUUAAUUUAAUUCUUAAAAUAUGCAGGGAUGAUUAGCAAUUCUCAUGGAUUGAAAUUAUUAAUUCCAAAAUAAUAAUUAAUUAGCAUUUUCUUCAAGUUUCCAAUACUAAAUUUAUAACCUAAAAAUUAAUUAUCAGAACCAGUCACCAAACCUCUUCUUCCUCUCUCUUGCGCAUUCCAGCCCCAGCCACCGCAGCAGCUGAUAGCUCCACGCCGUUUACUCAAAAAAUAUUGGUGACAUUAUUUCUCUCGCUCUUCAAUUUCUCGUUGUCUUUCUCAUUUCAAAAUCUACAAUUUAUUUCUAUCUUAGUUUCUUCGACUGUGCAGACACUCGUUCUCGGCUAUGGCUAUCAAUUUCACAGCCAGUUCACUCCACACCUCCAUGUAAUUCCAUUAUUUCAUCUAAAGACACUGUUUAAUUAGUUAUUCAAAAAAUCAUUCAUAAUUCUUAUUUGAUUUGAAUGAGUUCAACAACUUAUUCACAUAUUAUCUUUUUUUUAUGCUUAAAAGUCUAAUAAAUCGAAAUAAUAUUAUAGCCUACACAGUAAUUGUAACCCAUAUUUAAACAAUCUUCAUCAAAUUAAUGAUAGUUGACUUCUCACUCUCCGUAUCUUAUACAAGACGUAAAAAGACCAGCCAUAUCAGCAUAUUAUGUCUCGACAAUUUAAAUUCCUUUUUUAUUUUUUUAAACAAGGGGCAAACAAAGAAAAAGAUCAUAAUUAACGAGAACAUAGUAUGUUCCAUUUUUUAUCAGUCGCAUGACUUAUUACUAAAAUGCAGCACUACAAAUUUAUUCCAAUAUCCAGGCACCAAGAUUUCAUAGAGGAGUUCUACCAAUUCAUCAUAACUUCAUCCUUGCUCAGAAGGUUGAGAAACAAACUAAAACCUAAGUUCAUAACUGAGACAAGGAGUUCCCCACAUCGAUCACAA
rnacentral:lncRNA from 1 species